GAUGAACGCUAGCUACAGGCUUAACACAUGCAAGUCGAGGGGAAACGAUAUUGGAAGCUUGCUUCCGAUAGGCGUCGACCGGCGCACGGGUGAGUAACGCGUAUCCAACCUGCCCAUCACUUGGGAAUAACCUUGCGAAAGUAAGACUAAUGCCCAAUGACAUUUAUAGAAGGCAUCUGAAAUGAAUUAAAGAUUUAUCGGUGAUGGAUGGGGAUGCGUCUGAUUAGCUUGUUGGCGGGGUAACGGCCCACCAAGGCGACGAUCAGUAGGGGUUCUGAGAGGAAGGUCCCCCACAUUGGAACUGAGACACGGUCCAAACUCCUACGGGAGGCAGCAGUGAGGAAUAUUGGGUCAAUGGACGUAAGUCUGAACCAGCCAAGUAGCGUGCAGGAUGACGGCCCUAUGGGUUGUAAACUGCUUUUAUGCGGGGAUAAAGUUGGGGACGUGUCCCUUUUUGCAGGUACCGCAUGAAUAAGGACCGGCUAAUUCCGUG
rnacentral:rRNA from 1 species